UCGAACGCGUGUCCAUGUAAUGAUUUUAGGUGCUUGCAUUUGAAAGAUUUAACAUUGAGACGAGUGGCGAACUGGUGAGUAACACGUGGGUAACCUGCCCUCGAAGUAGGGGAUAACACUUGGAAACAGGUGCUAAUACCGUAUAACAACCAAAACCACCUGGUUUUGGUUUAAAAGACGGCUUCGGCUGUCACUUUAGGAUGGACCCGCGGCGUAUUAGCUUGUUGGUAAGGUAACGGCCUACCAAGGCGAUGAUACGUAGCCGACCUGAGAGGGUAAUCGGCCACAUUGGGACUGAGACACGGCCCAAACUCCUACGGGAGGCAGCAGUAGGGAAUCUUCCACAAUGGACGAAAGUCUGAUGGAGCAACGCCGCGUGAGUGAUGAAGGGUUUCGGCUCGUAAAACUCUGUUGUUGGAGAAGAACAGGUGUCGGAGUAACUGUUGACAUCUUGACGGUAUCCAACCAGAAAGCCACGGCUAACUACGUGCCAGCAGCCGCGGUAAUACGUAGGUGGCAAGCGUUGUCCGGAUUUAUUGGGCGUAAAGCGAGCGCAGGCGGUUUUUUAGGUCUGAUGUGAAAGCCUUCGGCUUAACCGGAGAAGUGCAUCGGAAACCGGGAGACUUGAGUGCAGAAGAGGACAGUGGAACUCCAUGUGUAGCGGUGAAAUGCGUAGAUAUAUGGAAGAACACCAGUGGCGAAGGCGGCUGUCUGGUCUGUAACUGA
rnacentral:rRNA from 1 species